GAGAUCUGACGGCUUAAAAGUGUGGCACUUCCUACCUCACUCUCUCUCUCUCUCCUGCUGCAUUGUGAAGAAACUGCUUGCUUCCCUCUCACCCUCUGCAGUUUCCUGAGGCCUCCCCAGCCAUGCGGAACGGCCAGAUGCAGUGCCUCAUGCCUGUAAUCCCAGCACUUUGGGAGGCUGAGGGAGGAUUGCUUGAGCCUGCUUCCAUAUCGUAAACUGCCUUGGAACCAAUUACCACUACCAGGGAGACAAACUAUUGCUUAGAGGAUGCUGACAGGAGCAGCAUGCCAAAAUUGGAAGAAGGAGAAAGUUUAAGCUCUCCUCACUAUGAGUUUUCAAGUAUAAAAGACUUUUUCUUCCACGAUUUUGAGAACAACUGAGGACUCUUGUGACCAGGACAACAGGGAAGCUUGCAGCAAGAUAGCUCCAGGUUGGAUUCAUGCUUCGCACCCCAAGGGCUGCCAGCCAGAGAGGAGGAGAAGCAAUCACUCCUGCAGUUUCUGAACACUACACAGACGCCAGGUAGCUUCUUCAGGAGAACAGCCCUCUGAGGAGGCAGGAAGAGGAGGCUUAUCUUUCAGCAGCCGGAGCUGCUGAGAUCUCUGGGCAGAUUAAGCUCUCUCUAAUGGAUGGGCUCCAGCCUGGCACAUUCAGUGGAGAGGGAUCCACUCAUCCAUCAUCAACAUAAUAUGGUCCUCCCUGCACUUCACAGUGUCCUCUUGCUAUUGAAAAGGCUUUUUUGCCUUCUCAAGUUUCUUUGUCAACAGUCUACAGGAAGAAGCUCAGGCCGCCACCGGCAGAGGUGAAUGCAAGCUCACGUUUUAUUUCUGACUGCUUAAUCAUUGCCUCGAUCACUGCUCAAGCUCUGCCUUUGUUUCCAAAGGUUACCUGUGGGAAAACUUCUUUUUCUAUGCUGAAAUUAAUAGGGAGGCAAAGAUGAGUCCACUGAUAAGCAGAGCCUUAAAACUCACAUAGAGAAACAACUUUGCUGGAGUGUGUGUGAGUGAACCACUAAGGAAUCAGAUAGUGUGAUGGCAGUUAUCAUUGCAGGUUAAGACAUUUCUACAAAUAUUUCGACAUCUCCAUAUACUCACUCCUUUCCCCCCUGAGUGGAGAGACUCAGCUACCAAGAGAGGAAGCUCAAAAAAAACAGAAGCUUCAAACAAACAACCAACCAAAAAAAAAAAAAAACUGUGGGUUCAUCAGAGGUGGUAGGGAAGACAAAAACAUGGGAGGAGCAGCUGGGCACGGUGGCUCAAGCCUGUAAUCCCAGCACUUUGCGAGGCUGAGGUGGGUGGAUCACCUGAGGUCAGGAGUUCGAGACCAGCCUGGCCAACAUGGUGAAACCCCAUCUCUACUAAAAAUACAAAAAAUUAGCCGGGCGUUGUGGUACGCACCUGUAAUCCCAGCUACUCCGGAGGCUGAGGCAGCAGAAUCGCUUGAACCCAGGAGGCAGAGGUUGCAACGAGCCAAGAUCGCACCAUUGCACUCCAGCCUGGGCAACAAGAGCGAAACUCCAUCUAAAAAAAACAAACAAGCAAACAAACAAAAAACACGGGAGGAGCAAUAAAAAGGAAUCCAUGCUUUGAUUUUUUUUUUUAGUGAGAGGAAGGGAAGGCUGCUGCCUCUCACUUCUCCCUGUUUUGUUGUUCUUUUAAGUAGCAUGUGUCACUCUGUAUAUAUCCUGUCCAUGUGUUUUCUUUUAUUAUUAUUUGUCCACUUGCCUAGAAUGAAAACUCCAUGGGAGCAUG
rnacentral:lncRNA from 1 species